CCGAAAGGCGUAGUCGAUGGGAAACAGGUUAAUAUUCCUGUACUUGGUGUUACUGGCGAAGGGGGGACGGAAGAAGGCUAUGUUAGCCGGGCGACGGUUGUCCCGGUUUAAGCAUGUAGGCUGGUUGUCCAGGCAAAUCCGGAUAAUCAAGGCUGAGGUGUGAUGACGAGGCACUACGGUGCUGAAGUAACAAAUGCCCUGCUUCCAGGAAAAGCCUCUAAGCAUCAGGUAACAUCAAAUCGUACCCCAAACCGACACAGGUGGUCAGGUAGAGAAUACCAAGGCGCUUGAGAGAACUCGGGUGAAGGAACUAGGCAAAAUGGUGCCGUAACUUCGGGAGAAGGCACGCUGGUGUGUAGGUGAAG
rnacentral:rRNA from 1 species